UUUUUUUGAGAGUUUGAUCCUGGCUCAGGACGAACGCUGGCGGCGUGCCUGACACAUGCAAGUCGUACGGUUCAUGUAUCUUGCAAGCUUGCUUGUUUGUACAUGGAUAGUGGCGGACGGGUGAGUAACGCGUGAAUAUCUAUCCAUUGGAGGGGGACAACCCGUCGAAAGGCGGGCUAAUACCGCGUAGGCCAUUUUUUUGGUGAAAGGUCACAUAUUGUGGCUGCCGAUGGAUGAGUUUCCGUCCUAUCAGCUUGUUGGUGGGGUAAGGGCCUACCAAGGCUAAGACGGGUAGCCGGUCUGAGAGGAUGGCCGGUCACACUGGAACUGAGAUACGGUAGAGACUCCUACGGGAGGCAGCAGUGGGGAAUCUUGGGCAAUGGGGGUAACCCUGACCCAGCGACGCCGCGUGAGGGAUGAAUGUUUUCGGAUUGUAAACCUCUGUUGUACGGGAAGAAGAGCGUGACGGUACCGUACGAGUAAGCCCCGGCAAACUACGUGCCAGCAGCCGCGG
rnacentral:rRNA from 1 species